AAGAGAGGAAGUGGCUAGCAGGAGAAAAGAGCCAAAGGGAGAAAUGCUGCACUCACUCCUCUGAGAGAAAGGGUAUUAGCUAGGUCUGAGGCAGUGUUCUAGAAGGGAAGUAGGUCCUGGGAUCCUGCCUUAGUCUACAGAUGUUGGCAAGAAGCUGAGAGGGGAGAAGGAGUUAUGUGGUGUGGAGGAAGCUCCAGAACAUAGAGAAGAGAGAUAGGAAAGAGCCCAGGGAAACAUCAACAAGGUCAGCUCUUGAGCAGAUUGUGGUUGCUGGGCAUAGGGUCUCUAUGCUAGAACCCAGAGUACUGGUUGGGCCUUACAGGCUAUUAGGAAAGUGGCACAGACUUGGAAGUGGAUCAGGAGACUGCAGAUAAUGUGUCCAGUGGUCCUUGGAUACUCCAGAAAGGGAGGGCUGAGUCAUGAAGAAGGAGCAUCCAGAAUCUAGAGAGCCCAUGGGGUGAGCAACUAAAAGAAGGGAUGCUAGAGUAGGAAAAGAUUCACAGAUGUAGCCACAAGGAGGUAUCCUAGUGAUUCCCUGGUACAGAUAUUAUGUUGGUGCCCACUUUCUGCUGCUGCAACAUCCCUUUCUGAUGGACUUUAUGCCAUUGGGAGGGAGUCUGUGUCAAAGAAGCUCAAGGCUCAAGAUCCAUUCAGACAACUUACUUGCUAUUACAACAUUCAUUGUGGGAGAGAAAUGAAAACCUUCACCAUGGGGUUGAAACCUCUGCGUAAAUGUUAGGUUAGAGGGAAUGCUGUAUGACAUUCUUGGCUGAGGCAAAUCUGUCCAGAAGACACCAGUACAGAGAUUCAUUUCUCUCUACCCAACUCUCUAUUAAGCCUUGAUGAGGGAAAUGAAAAGUCCCUACAUUAUGAGACAAUGCUACAAAUCAGUCCUGUUUGUUUUAUUCAUAUUGAUGAGGCCCCAGUGUUUGAUCUGGACUUUGUACAAGCAGAUUCUAAAUAGUAUAGUUCUGUAGCUCAAAAGACCACAAAUGGAUAAUCAUGUUUCC